rnacentral:rRNA from 1 species
UACGUAGGGUGCGAGCGUUGUCCGGAAUUAUUGGGCGUAAAGAGCUUGUAGGCGGUUUGUCGCGUCUGCCGUGAAAAUUCGAGGCUCAACCUCGAACUUGCGGUGGGUACGGGGCAGACUAGAGUGUGGUAGGGGAGACUGGAAUUCCUGGUGUAGCGGUGAAAUGCGCAGAUAUCAGGAGGAACACCGAUGGCGAAGGCAGGUCUCUGGGCCACUACUGACGCUGAGAAGCGAAAGCAUGGGGGAGCGAACAGG